rnacentral:rRNA from 1 species
UACGGAGGAUCCAAGCGUUAUCCGGAUUUAUUGGGUUUAAAGGGUGCGUAGGCGGUUAGUUAAGUCAGUGGUGAAAGUUUGCCGCUCAACGGUAAAAUUGCCAUUGAAACUGGCUGACUUGAGUACGGUAGAGGUAAGCGGAAUGCGUUGUGUAGCGGUGAAAUGCUUAGAUAUAACGCAGAACCCCAAUUGCGAAGGCAGCUUGCUGGACCGUUAACUGACGCUGAUGCACGAAAGCGUGGGGAUCAAA